AUUCUCAUCCUCUCGCUCUCUUAUGGCUCUCUUUUCUCUCUUAGCCUAUCUUCUUCUCCAUCUUCAACUCCACCACCAAACCGAAAACUGAAACAGAUCAUAUAAAAUCAUUGCUCUCCAACCUAACCCCUUUCUCUGUCUUUUUCGUCUCCUGCACAAAAUCGAAGUUCUCCCGUGAACCCGAACUAAACCUGUAACCUCAGAACAAAGAUUUGUUGUUGAGAGAAUGAGAGAGAUUAGGUUUUGUUGAGUUUGUUGUAUUCAUCGAAUGAUUGAUUGAUUUUAAGUAAGUUUUUCUUAGUUUUUCCAAUUAAUUUGCUUUUUUUCUGAGUAAAUAAGUAUUGUUCAGAUCUGUAAAUUUCAGUGGUGGUUUUGAUUUGCGGGAUUUUCUCUCUCUCUCUCUCUCUUUUUGGAUUUCUUGAAAUUGAGUUCAUAGUGUGUAUCAAGGUUUUCAAUUUUUGUUUCAUAAAGUCUGAACUUGUUUGACAGAAUGGAAGUUAAGGGUUUCUUCAUUUUGUCUCUUUUAGUGUUUGUUCUGGGUGUUUGAGUGGAUUUUUUUGAUUGGUAUGUGGUUAUAAUAAGUAUAGUUUGUGGAUUUUAUUGCUGAAGCUGAGAUUUUUUAUCUGUUUUUUAGGGGUUUUCCUCUUUUCAGAGAUUGAUCUCGAUAUUUUGAGAGAAAGCAGUGUUUUUAUGUGUGAUUUUGAAGAUACCCUUUGUUUAAUUUAAGAUUUGGAUGAAGAAACCCUUUGUUUGAUUUUGGAUUUUUUUUGAUGUUUUUGCGAUGCUUUGAGCUGGAAGUACAAGGAGAUGGAGUUGGUCUUGCAGGGAGUUUGUGUUACUGUUUUCAGUUGAGACCUGGUGGCUAGUGAUGGUGAGAUUGAGGAUGGGUUUGCUGACAGAAGGAUUGCAGGUGGUGCAUAGUAAUGGGUGCUCAUGCUUUUGUAGUUGAAGCUGUAGUCAGUGUUGGUUGUGCUGAAGGGUUUGAGCUGGGAUAAAUGGAAAGUGGAGGUUGCAGGAUGUUUUUCUUUACAGCAUUUUUGGAGUGUCACCUUUAAAGUUUCAAUUGAGAGUUUUUUAUGGGUAUAUGAAAGAACGGGAUCUUCUCGACUCAAAUGAUGUGAAAUUUCCAAAGUUUAGCAAGGCGAAACACCGAAUUCUCUGCUUUGAACUGAAGCAAUUGUAUGUUGCUAUAACUCGCACUAGACAGAGACUGUGGAUCUGUGAGAAUGUAGAUUUUUCAAAGCCUAUGUUUGACUACUGGAAGAAGUUAGGCCUUUUUCAAGUGAGACAACUUGAUGAAUCACUUGUACAUACGAUGCAGGUUACAAGCAGCAAAGAGGAAUGAAGCUCACGUGGUACCAAGUUACUGGAUGAAGGUAGUUUUGAGAUGGCGACAAUGUGCCUUUAAGUGUGCUUCCACUGCUGUCGGGCCCCUCCCCAUUACCCCAUGUUGGCCAUGAUGAACGACGAUAAAAUGGAUUUCACAAGCAGUUAGGUGGAAGAUGCGGGUCAAUCAAAGAAAGAGAUGGUGAUUCAUUCCUGGAGAAACUCGCUAAAUCUUGUGGUCUUAGAGUUGCUGGUGUUCACAUGCUUGCUUGUAAUGCUGGACUAGCUCGCGUUGCUCGUGUGGAGGCAGCUGAGAUUUAUGAAUCGAUAGGCAUGGCUGAUAUUGCUGCCAAGUGUUUCAUGGAGUUUAGAGAUUUCAAAAGAGCAGGUAUGAUUUAUUUGGAAAUCGUAGGGAAUCUAGACUAGAAGAUGUGGGCGAUUGUUUUAGUCUUCCUGGUUGUUGGUCUACUGCAGCUGAUGUGUAUUCUAGGUGUAACUGCUUUUCCAAGUACUUUCUAGUUUGCACAAAAUGAUAAUCUCUUUGAAACCGACCUUCAGUUCAUAGUGUAUUGGAAAGAAAGUGCAAGGGUAAACCCUGAUACAUCAAAAAUUCAAGAUCUGAUCGAUAUAGAACAAUGUUUUCUCAAGAGAUGUGCCCUUCAUUUUUAGUUUUGUUCAAAGAAUCUAUCAUUUUUUUUCUUUCAUUGCGCAACACACUUUCGUACAAGGUAAUUUGAAGUUACCUAGGUAAUGUAAUUGGAGUGGCAGGUUAACUUGGAUGAAUGUAAAUGUGUUACACUGCUAGGUUAAUGUAAAUGUGAAUUACUUUCGGCAA